ACAUGCAAACUCCAUGCAGAAAUGCCAACUGACCCAGCCGAGGCUCAAACCAGUGACCUUUUUGCUGUGUGGCGACAGCACUACCUACUGCGCCACUGCGUUGCCCCAAGCUAUAAGUUUCAAGACAUCAUUUGAAAUGGUAAAGUUUUCUUCUAUGCAUGCAUAUUCACAGUAAAAACAAAACAUUAUGACAUUUUAUUAUUAAGAGAACAUAUUAGAUGCACUUUCUGCCAUCUUUUCAAAACAUCUAACAAAAACAAACCAAAACUCUGUGUAAUGAUCAUAUGAUCAGAGCUCAACGAAUCAAGAUAGGAGUAAUCCAGAAGAGCCAAUCAGGGAGUGAAUUUGUGGAGCCACGCCUUUUUUAUAAUUAAUUUUUCGGGGUUUUCACCUUAAUUGGAUAGGACAGUAGAAAGUAUUGACUGGAAAGUUUGGGGAGCAGAGAGAGGGGAAGAAUUGCCAUAGGACCUUGAGGCGGGAAUUGAACUCGCGGUCGCUGUAAGCACCGAAGUGCAUAUGUCAAUGCACUUUCCACUACACCUCUGGCACCAAUAAAGCCAUGUGUUUUUAGGUCAUCUACUUCGAAACCUAACUAAGUCUUCUAAUUAAAACAAAUCUGAAGCAUUUUCAAAAGUCUCAGUUUUUGAGUGUCUAAAACAGGGUUGCCCAAACUUGGUCCUGGAGUGCUUAUUUUAGUUUCAACCCCAAUAAACCACACCUGAACCAGCUAAUCAAGCUCUUUUUGUUUGUCGUGUGACCAUGUUUUUUGUCCGUGAGUCAAAAAUCAUUCAGAAACCAAACAAUGUGUAGUCUGAGCCUGGCAUUAGUCUUGUUUUAAAGGUUUGCGUGUGUGUUUUUCAUAUUGUGUUGUUUAUUUGCUGUGUCACUGCCUUCACCGUUGAAUAAUUGGUCACACUUUACAAUACAGUUCUAUUAGUUCAUGUAUUCACUAACAUAAACUGAGAAUGAAUCAAUACUUGUACAGCAUUUAUUAAUCAUAGAUCACUUACUUUGUUACUAACGCAUUAAAAAAUAGCAAAUUGUGCUUGUUCAGUAGUGGUUAAAGUACAUCCAGAUGGUUGUUAUAUCAGAUUAAAGUUGCUAAAAAGCUUAUCGGCAGUUGUGUGACUACUGUAAGUCUGUUCUAUAAGACUGAAGGGCUUUUUUUCUGUGAAAACAGCCAUCUGGAUGUGCUUUAUUCUACUUUUUGCAUGACUACUUGUCACAAAAUGUAAAAACUAGAUGCAAAACAUUGCUCUGAGCUGUAAUAGUUUUUUUUUUUUCAACAAACUAACGAAAACGGCUGAAUGGAGCGUACACUAAUCUAUAUAUUAUUCAGUCACUAGAUGGCGCCAAAUAAUCAAAACAGCAGCGUAACAAACAUGCUUAUAAAUAUGAACACAUUCACUGAUGGUCAGGAUGAUUAGAAGUACCCAUAUGCAUCUGUGUUAUUAGUUUCAGCAGUUGGUUUCUCUAAAUAAAACACCUUGAAAUGUCAUGACUGACCAAUCAGAAUCAAGUAUUCCAGACAGUCGUGUUAUAACAGUAGCUAAUGCACUGUAAGGUAACAGUAAAUGAUUUUUCCCCAUUACCUAAUGUUAACAAAGAUGAAUAAAUGCUGUUCUGAAUCAUUCACUAUUGGUUUGUGUCAGCAAAUAUAUUCAAAUGAACUAAUUGAGCCUUAUUGUAAAGUGGUACCGAAUCACUUUAUACCUUGCACUGGUUCUUGUAUAGAUUCUGAGAAGUUGAACUGCUUUUGAUACCUUGAAUUGAUCUACAGAUUGACCUGCUUCUUUUUUUUUUUUUUUUUUUUUUUUGUUAUACUGUACUUUUUUUUUUUUGCCUGUGGUCUUACGAUGCUGAUCCUUUCAUUUUCAUUAACGGCCAUUAAGCACACAUUGCCUUCAUGAUACAAGUAUUGAACCCUACUUGUGGGUCCAGUAAUAGCAUUUGAAGUAGUGAUGUUUUUCAUCUUCAUUUGCCUUUAUUGUGUUUGGCAUCUGCAGGAGUGCUGGAUAUACAGCUUCAGUUUUAUUCAGUUUGUUAUAUAUAAAGGAAACUGGGCUGACAUGAAUGAUGCAGGAUUACUAUGAUUUGACAGGUUGUAAAGGCAUGCUAAGUCAUUUUCAGUAAUGUACUUACAAUAGUGCUUCUCAAACAGUUAUUAAGUGAGUGAUGGGCUUAUUUUAAAAAUACAUUAAUAAUAACAGUAAAUUAAGAAUUGCUUAACCAAAAAUAUAUUUAAUAAAUUUGAAUCAAAUUAUGCCUGAUUUUGUCGACAGUUAAUUAAAAUAUCAGUCUCACUUUAAUGAAAAGCAUUACCCAAAUGUUACAGGUGUCUUGCUUUCCAAAAUUAUGCAAUUAUUUGUUUAAAGUAAACAGUAAAACUGUGAAUUACUACAAUUUACAAUAAUAAUUUUCUCUUAAUAAAUGUUUUAAAACACCUGUUUAAUGUUACAAAGACAUUACAAUAGUGAUUCUCAAACAGUUAUUAUGUAAGUGAUCGACUGAUUUUAAAAUACAUUAAUAAUAAUAAUAAUAAAUUAAGAAUUGCUUCAUAAAAUUCUAAAAUAUUUAAUAAAUUUGAAUCAAAUUAUGCCUGAUUUUGCUGACAGUCAUUCAAAUAUCAGUCUCACUUCAGUGAAAUGCAUUACCAAAGAGUUACAGGUAUCUUACUUUCCAAAUUUAUCCAUUUAUUUGAUCAAAAUUAUAAUAAAAAUUAAAUACUACAAUUUUACAUAAUCAUUUUCUCUUAAUAAAUGUUUUAAAAUGCCAUUUAUUCCUUUGAGGAUGAAUCUGAAUCAUUACAUAAGUCUUUAGUGUUACAAAAAAAUUAGUGGUUCUCAAGUUAUUAUGUAAGUGAUGGAUUGAUUUUAAAAUACAACAACAAUAAUAAUAAUAAUAAGAAGAAGAAGAAGAAGAAGAAGAAGAAGAAGAAGAAGAAUUGCUUCACAUUAAUUCAAAAAUUCAAAAAUAUUUAAUCAUUUUGAAUCAAAUUAUGCCUGAUUUUGUUCACAUUUAUUCAAAUAUCAGUCUCACUUCAGUGAAAUACAUUUGCAAAAUGUUUCAGGUGUCUUUCUUUCUAAACUUGUGCAUUUAUUUGAUCAUAAAGUGAAAUAAUACAAUUUUAUAGGAUCAUUUUCUCUUAAUAAAUGUUUUGUCCCUAUCAGGUUGAAUCUGAAUAAUUACAUAAGACUUCUCUGUUCUCAAACAGUAAGUGAUUGACCAAUUUUAAAAUACAUUAUUAAUAAUAAUAAUAAUAAAUUAAUUGUCCACAAUCAUUAAACUAUCAGUCUCACUUUAGUGAAAUGCAUUACCAAAAUGAUAGAGGUGUCUUGCUUUCCAAAAUAAAAUGAUGCAAUUAUUUGAUCAAAAAUAUGAAUAUCAAAACAGUGAAAUACUACAAUUUAAUAAAAUCAUUUUCUCUUAAUAAAUGUUUUAAAACAACAUUUAUCCCUGUGAGAAUAAAUCUGAAUAAUUACAUAAGUCUUCAGUGUUACAAAAACAUUAAAAUGUUUAUAUUUUAUGUUCAAGAAUAUUUCUGAAUAUCAGUGUUGAUUACAGUUGUGGCGAUUAGUAUUUUUUAACACUUUUGUAAGUGCAUUACUCUCAACACAAUUUUAUUUACUAAAAAUUGAGGAAUGCAUUGUGAUAGUUAACAAAUUAUGAUAGAUGCUGAAGAGCUUAUUCUUUAAACUGUUCUUUUGUAUUUAUUUUCAAACUGAACAAUCUUGAAAUUAAAAAUGACACCCACAAUGUGCUCACUUGAGUACUUUUAGUAUUACCACUGUGUAAAGCGUAUUACAGUUUGACUGAUUUAAACUCAAAGAAAUGAUGAAGGUGUACUGUAUGUCACAGAAACAUUUUCCUACUUCUUACUUCUCUCUUCUUUUUUUUUUUUUUUUGAAUAUUUGUUCCAGAAUGCACUAUUGCUCAUUAAACUACUGUUGAUCAAAUGGGUACAGUAUAUUCCUUUGUGACUUCAUGCUUUUGAUGUGUUAGAAGAGCAUAAAACUGUAGUACUAGACUCCUGAAACACUGAUCCCGGCUACUUGUACUUUAUUUCAUGCUGAAGUUUUGUUCUUGCCUUUGUGCUGAAACUAUUUUUGUGUUGAUGUUGCAAACAGGAGCAUAUCAUCUGCUCUAAAGGGACAAUUCUGUUACCUUGUGUCAUAAUCUGCCCUCGUUUAAUUGUUGGAAUGAGUUUUUUUGUUUUCGAUUUUGUUAAGUUUUUAUGUCUGGUUGAAAUUUUCUUGACCUGUAGUUAAACAUCUGCUGAUUCUUAAUUUAAGUGACAAUUAAAAAGUAUUACAGUACCA